rfam:Anncaliia algerae PRA339 unplaced genomic scaffold supercont2.6, whole genome shotgun sequence.
GACAAUGUGGUGGAGUGGUUAACACGUUGGAUUGCUAAUCCAUGCCUCAAUUGGUGCGCGAGUUCGAAUCUCGUCAUUGUCG